UACGGGGGGAGCAAGCGUUGUUCGGAUUUACUGGGCGUAAAGGGCGCGUAGGCGGUCAGCACAAGUCAGUUGUGAAAUCUCCGAGCUUAACUCGGAAAGGUCAACUGAUACUGUGCGACUAGAGUGCGGAAGGGGCAACUGGAAUUCUUGGUGUAGCGGUGAAAUGCGUAGAUAUCAAGAGGAACACCUGCGGCGAAGGCGGGUUGCUGGGCCGACACUGACGCUGAGGCGCGAAAGCGUGGGGAGCAAACAGG
rnacentral:rRNA from 1 species